rnacentral:rRNA from 1 species
GAUGAACGCUGGCGGCGUGCCUAACACAUGCAAGUCGAACGAGAUGCGUAUCGGAAAGCUUCGGCCGGAAGAUACGUUAUCUAGUGGCGGACGGGUGAGUAACACGUGGGUAACCUGCCUUAUGGAGGGGGAUAACAGAGAGAAAUCACUGCUAAUACCGCAUAAGCACACAGUACCGCAUGGUACAGGGUGAAAAGAUUUAUCGCCAUAAGAUGGACCCGCGUCUGAUUAGCCAGUUGGCAGGGUAAAAGCCUACCAAAGCAACGAUCAGUAGCCGAUCUGAGAGGAUGACCGGCCACAUUGGGACUGAGACACGGCCCAAACUCCUACGGGAGGCAGCAGUGGGGAAUAUUGCACAAUGGGGGGAACCCUGAUGCAGCGACGCCGCGUGAGUGAAGAAGUAUUUCGGUAUGUAAAGCUCUAUCAGCAGGGAAGAUAAUGACAGUACCUGACUAAGAAGCCCCGGCUAACUACGUGCCAGCAGCCGCGGUAAUACGUAGGGGGCAAGCGUUAUCCGGAUUUACUGGGUGUAAAGGGAGCGUAGACGGAAUGGCAAGUCUGAAGUGAAAUACCCGGGCUCAACCUGGGAACUGCUUUGGAAACUGUUGUUCUAGAGUGUUGGAGAGGUAAGUGGAAUUCCUGGUGUAGCGGUGAAAUGCGUAGAUAUCAGGAAGAACACCGGAGGCGAAGCGGCUUACUGGACAAUAACUGACGUUGAGGCUCGAAAGCGUGGGGAUCAAACAGG